CGAAAGCCUGACGGAGCAAUACCGCGUGAGGGAGGAAGGCUCUUGGGUUGUAAACCUCAAAACUUAGGGAAGAAAAAAAUGACGGUACCUAAUGUAAGCAUCGGCUAACUCCGUGCCAGCAGCCGCGGUAAUACGGAGGAUGCAAGCGUUAUCCGGAAUCAUUGGGCGUAAAGAGUCCGUAGGUGGCACUUCAAGUCUGCUUUCAAAGACCGAAGCUCAACUUCGGAAAGGGAGUGGAAACUGAAGAGCUAGAGUAUAGUAGGGGUAGAGGGAAUUCCUAGUGUAGCGGUGAAAUGCGUAGAGAUUAGGAAGAACACCAGUGGCGAAGGCGCUCUACUGGGCAUAUACUGACACUGAGGGACGAAAGCUAGGGGAGCG
rnacentral:rRNA from 1 species